UUUAAAUCGGUACCGUAGGUUGGGUGACAACGAGCUCUGCCUACUAUUUCCAUGGGUGGCACGAGUGGACUUUCUAUACUUCACGGCCUUCUCGGCAGCGCCAACACCCGCCGCAGCAACUCGUCACCUCCUACCAGUCUCAAGGCCUUAACUUUUGUAAUACUUAACCAUGUUCGCUUCGGUGGCCUCGCAAAAGCCGUCUCCAUUCUCUACUCAUCCACCGUCGCCUUGCCUUUUUCUCUCUACGCCCACCUAUUUCAAAUUUGUUUUUCGAAAAAAGCCAUUGUCGAGAUACGGAAACUCGAAUCUCACCUAAUCAUGUGGAAUCUGAACCCACCAAUCUUUUUGCUUAAUAGGGCCAUUGAGGGCUAUGGGAAGUGUGGCUGUUUGGAUGAUGCCGAGGAACUGUUUGACCAAAUGCCUAAAAGAGAUGGUGGGUCAUGGAAUUCAAUAAUUACUGCGUACUCGCAAAAUGGGAAGGCGGAGGAAGCUCUAGGUAUGUUUUCAAGGAUGAGGAGGGAAGGAGUUUUUGCGAGUGAGGUUACUUUUGCGAACGUCCUCGCGUCAUGUGGCACCUUGUUGGAGCUGGGGCUAUCGGGGCAGGUGCAUGGGCUUGUUGUGAAAUAUGGGUUUUGUGGGAAUGUUAUUUUGGAGAGCUCGCUUGUGGAUGUGUAUGGGAAAUGUGGCGACAUAAGUGAAGCGAGGAGGAUGUUCGAUGAGAUUGAUAAUCCGAACGAUGUCUCGUGGAAUGUGAUUGUUAGGAGGUAUUUUGAGAUGGAUGAGGGAAAUGAGUCAGUGAAGAUGUUUUUCAAAAUGAUUAGGAUGAAUGUGAGGCCGUUGAGUUUCACUGUGUCCAAUGUCCUUCGUGCUUGCUCGAGUUUUCACGGACUUAAGGAAGGGAACCAAAUUCAUGGAUUUAGUAUCAAGAUUAACGUGGAAGAGGAUGAGGAGGUAUCAAAUACUCUCAUUAGCAUGUACGCGAAGUGUGGAGAUUUGGCAAGUGCCAGGACAGUCUUUGACCUAUCUUGUUCCCGAAAUUUGAUUAGUUGGACGGCAAUGGUGUCUGGGUAUGCGAGGAGUGGGCAAACGAUGGAGGCCAGGGAGCUUUUCAAUCAGAUGCCAGAGCGAAACGUGAUAUCAUGGAAUGCGAUGCUGGCAGGUUAUGUGGGCUCCUUUGAGUGGGAUAAAGCAUUGGACUUUGUUAUUCUGAUGCGUAAACGGACUAAGGACAUCGAUCAUGUCACUCUUGGGUUAAUUUUGAACAUAUGUGCUGCAAUUCCAGAUGUUGAAUUGGGGAAACAGGUUCAUGGAUAUAUCUAUAGGCAUGGUUUCUAUUCCAAUCUCUUUGUCGCGAAUGCCCUUCUCGACAUGUAUGGAAAGUGCGGUAAAUUGAGGAGUGCUAGAGUUUGGUUCUGUGAGAUGAGCCAUUUACGAAAUAAUGUUUCAUGGAAUGCUUUAUUAACAAGCUAUGCUCGUCAUGGAAUGAGUGAACAAGCCAUGAUGAUUUUUUGGAAAAUGUUAGAUGAGACAACGCCAAGCAUAUAUACCUUUGGAACAAUUUUGGCUGCUUGUGCAAAUAUAUUUGCACUUGAGAUAGGUAAACAGGUUCACGCAUUUAUGAUUAGAAAUGGUUACAAUAUGGAUGCUGUAAUAAGAGGAGCUUUAGUGGAUAUGUACUCCAAAUGUCGCUGUCCUGAGUAUGCUCUCAAAGUUUUUGACGAGGCUACUUCGAAGGACGUGAUACUUUGGAAUUCCAUGAUUUUGGGUUGUUCACAUAAUGGAAGGGGUGAGAAGGUACUUGAAUUGUUUGCAUCCAUGGAGGAGCAAGGUGCUAAGCCAGACCAUGUCACCUUUCAAGGAAUCUUGCUUGCUUGUAUUUCCGAAGGCCGGGUUGAGUUGGGUCGGCGGUUUUUCAAAUCAAUGACUGAUAAACACUGUCUGAUACCUCGUUUGGAGCAUUAUGAAUCCAUGAUUGAGCUAUAUGGUCAGUACGGAUGUAUAGAUGAGCUUGAUCAUUUUAUAAAUGAGAUGCCAUUUGAGCCCACUGCCCCAAUGUUGAUCAAAGUUUUUGAUUACAGUCGAAAAUAUAAAAGCUUGAAGCUGGGAGAAUGGGCUGCUGAUCAACUUAAUAAAUUAAAUCCUCCUGUUCCAUUCCGAUUCGAAAUCAUUGACAACAAGUAAUUGAUAAACAAUUACUCAAAGAUGUAGAUCAAUAUUUUGCAUCAUGCAUACCCAUACCAUAAUGCCCAACAUAUCUCUGAAGUGUUAAAAGAUUAGGGGUCUGAGUGAUUCUAAACUCUUGAGAACUCCUGGAAGAGAAAAGUGAGUGGCAUCAGUGAAAAAUCGUUUGGGUUUUAAUUUUCGCAGCACAUGAAUGGCUUCAUUUUGUUGCAUUUCAUAUUUUGUCUAUGAAGUACUAUCCUCAAGAACAGUGAGAAUUUCAUGUGGAUUGGGAAGGUGUCGCACAAGGGUAGAAGUGGCUUGAGACUGAUAUGAACACUGCUAGCUUUUUCAGCAACUUAAAAUGUGUAAGCGGCUCAAUUCUAUUGCAUUUUUUUUUAUGACUGAUUUGGUGUCUGGAUUCAAAUAUUUUCUUGUGGCUUGCAUUCAUUACUGAUCAAGAGAUAUAUCUUGGGUUAGAGUACUGAUUGCCAGUCCCACGGAUAAAUUUUGACCAACUUCUCAUUCUCAGAAAUAUCGAACUGCCCUAUUGCCAACUUUGGACUAUCGGCUUUCAUGGUAGAAACUAAGAUUUCCCAUGGAACCAUCAAAUAGGCGCCAAGAUACAAGUUCUUUUUCAUACUUUGAAUCCAACUACAGAAGCCAAGGUAUUCUUUCUUUUCAAUUAUGUCAUUUGUUGCCAAUGUUUUUAUAAUUUGAUUGCAUUAGGGUCCAAAACUUUGUAAAUAAGCUGCAGGGAAGUUUCCUUUACAGUUAACUCCCCUGAGAACUUCUUGAUGGCAACUGAGAGAUAAUUAUAGCAAAAAAGUAGCGUCUGUUUUUUUGGGAUUCGAACUGUAUUUCUAUACUUGGCUUUGAUGUAAGGGCUGCUGUUUCGAGAAAUUCGAUGCUGAGGCUCUGUUCCUGUCUGAAAUUAUUUGCUGUUUUGAGAUGCAAGUAUUCGAUAGCAAAGUAUAUGUCUAGCUUUAUGCAAGAAGUGGUUGAUUUUGGGAUAUAAAGUCACUGUUGAACGUAUAUUGAGUACCAAAGCUUGCCCCGGCUCAGUUUCUUUCAACUUCUAACAUCACAACCCAACAACAACGACCCAAGACAAUAACCAAGCUUUCACUUCCGGUUGCCAAUGAGGUAGUUUACUUAUGAGACCACGAAGGUGCACUAUAUCUCAUAUAUUAUCACCACUAUAAGUAGAAAUCAAAAGGAGGCAGAAUUAGUAGAAGGAAUCUCGCAGAAACCGGCUGAAUAGAGAGAGGUAGAGGACGUCUCUCACCAAGAAAGAAAGCGACCCAUUUUAUCAAGUAAUAAUGGCCCAAAUAUGGUAAGUGUAGCUAAGUUAUUAGUCAAAGUGGAGGCCCAAUAAGUAAGUAAAUGGAUUCACAAGUAAUCUCUUUUAAUUAUGGCCAUCUAAGAAAGCGGAUUGGACCACGAGCAACACUAAAUUAUUUAGAUUGCUUCAAUUGACCUAAUUAACCUUUGGGUUGUAUCGCCUUGAUUGUGGUGUUAAAUUUUCAUUCAGUUAUUUGGCUAAAUCGACUGAAAAAAACUGAGUAACAUCAUAGCCUGGGGGAGAUCGUUUAACAACAAAUCGCCUAACAACUUUCACCUUGGUAUUAAAAGACCUGCAAAAAGAAAAAGUCUCCCAUUAGUGACACCUCUAAUAGAAAACCGAUAAAAUUGAAAAUCAUUUACCUGUACCAAUGUUUAGAAGAUCCUUGUGAUAAUUGUGUUUUCGCACACUUAUUAGAUACUUUAACAAGCUAAUUAUUGAUUAAAGGAGCGGAUAUCGACUCAUAACUGGGUAAUUUUGGCUUUUGUAGGUCAUUAACCCCAAAAGGUAAGAUAACAAGGUAAAAGGAAGUGAAAAGGGAGCAAAAGCGUACAAAAUUGUGAAGUUGGGGACCAAAAUGCAAAAGUGCCGAAAGUUUAAGGAACUGGGGUAGUAAUUUUGGAGGCCAAAAGUGAUAUGGAAAUCAAAAUUUGAGGAUCAGAUUGUACAUUAUCAAUGUUGAGGGGCAUUGUGUGCAAUUAAAUGGAGGACUAAGUUGGAAAAAGAAAUAAAGGAAGCCCGCGCUCGCACGCAGGCUUACUAUGGCGCUCGCACGGGAGGCUCUUUGUGAUCUCCCGAGGCCAAAAGCCUCUAAUGGCGCGCGGUAGUCGCCUUCCGUUUGGGUGAAUUUUGUCUAUUUCGCGUAAAUUUCGGGACUUCUUUCACAAUUUUUUCUUAGAUGAUUUUUGGCCAUUUAAAUACCAUUUUGUUAGUCAAUUCUAGGGUUUCUUUGGCUGGGUUUUCUUUCUCUUUCAUUUUUCUUUUACUUUUCUUUCAUUUUCUUCUUCUUUCUUUUUCUCUCCUCUUUCUUUCCAUUUUUCUUGACAUUUUGGAAGUGAAAUUAAGAGCACAAGGAGAAUUUAUCUAAGGUUUUGGAUAAAUGUUUGAGAAAGUCAUAGCCAAGUUUCAAAAGGGUUAUAUCUAUAACUUUGUAUGUUCUCAAUUAUUUUGCCAUAUUUGUAAUGGAUUGCGUAAAACAUUCUCCUUUUAUCAAUUAUAUAAAAUGGGCUAGUUUAUUGUGUUG
rnacentral:lncRNA from 1 species